GGAGGAAGUUUGCGAAGUCUGUGUUUAGAUUUCAUGGCAUGAUUCUGAAUAUGGAUAUAGUCAUUGCCAUAUUUGAGGUGUGUUGGUGGUUACUCGUAAAUUUUCAUGGUUUUGCUUCACUAUGAGCUUAGAAAUAAGAGUUUGGCAUUUCCAGUUUUUUUUCCAGAGUGAAAUUAAUAAACUGUACGAGUAAUGGGAUGAAAGAAUGAGGAAUGGAAGUGUGUAAGAGAGUUAAUUAUACAUUAGCCCUUAAACGGAAACGUGACUCCACCUGGAGUCACUAGUUCGUGGUUUUGAAAAAGCGCGCCAUUUUUUGCGCACACCUGGCUCCAUGGUCUAUGGAUCUGCUGGAGACCUGAGUCGAGGGUCUGUUGGUGAUCAGAUUUAGAGAAGGAAAGACGGACUCCUCGCUGGCGAUGCUCUUGCCUUCCUAAGUAAAGGCUGUGACGCCAGCAACUGGUACCUUACUACUUCCUCAUAUCUCCAAAUGGUGUUACAUCCUCAGACAAGCACUGCAGAGGCUGCUGCACAAUCAAGGUGCAAUGCAGGGCAUCAUAUUACCAUGCCAACAGAAGAGGACAAAAGAAAUCAGUACCCCCUUAAACAAUAACAGGUCAAGAUAACCAAGGUGUAGGUCAAGGUUACCAUCCUUAUGACUAAAUACUGAUAAUCUACUGGGGACUGCAGGGAGGCAAUACAUUAUCUUCCAUAAGUCCCAGAAUGAGUGAUGGUAUCUUGUAGUGAAAAUCUUUGGGAACAUUUUUGUAUUGUGUUCCUCGUGAUAGAAUAUUUAUCAGAUCUACAAUAGGUGACCUGAGGCAAAGAUCACUCAAUAAAAUUAAUCAGAAUCAGAGUAAGCAAACAAAUAAGAAGGGAAAUAGGUACAGAGAAGAAACAAGACAUUCUGAAGCCUCAAGAUUUUGACAUUAAACUGUAUAUAAAUGUCAAGUUAGGCAGGAUAUUUAAUGGCAAUGCUGAUCCACAAACAUGGAUCUUCACUAUCUACCAAACUGUCAAAUUAUUUACCAUAACUUGCUAAUUAACAAUCAUUUUCUAAUAAAUGUAAUGAGGAAAUAAUCAAA